rnacentral:tRNA from 1 species
GCCUGGGUCGCUCAGUCGGUUGAGCGUCCAACUUCAGCUCAGGUCAUGAACUCGUGGGUUCGUGGGUUUGAGCCCCACCCCAAGCU